rnacentral:rRNA from 1 species
ACUCCUACGGGAGGCAGCAGUGAGGAAUCUUCCACAAUGGACGAAAGUCUGAUGGAGCGACACCGCGUGAAGGAUGAAGGCCUAACGGUUGUAAACUUCUUUUCUGAAGGAGCAUAAUGAGAGUACUUCAGGAAUAAGGGACGGCUAAAUACGUGCCAGCAGCCGCGGUAAUACGUAUGUCUCAAGCGUUACCCGGAAUCACUGGGUGUAAAGGGUUCGUAGGCGGAAAUUUAAGUCAGGUAUGAAAGACCGGAGCUCAACUCCGAGUUUGUGCUUGAAACUGGAUUUCUAGAAUUAGGGAGAGGUAAGCGGAAUUCUAAGUGUAGGGGUGCAAUCCGUAGAUACUUAGAGGAACACCAAAAGCGAAGGCAGCUUACUGGAACUAUAUUGACGCUGAUGAACGAAAGCGU